rnacentral:rRNA from 1 species
AUGGACGAUUUUACUGGGAAGAAGGGAUUCCACGGGCGCAAACGUCCAGGCCCGCACACCAGCGGGCAGGCGCAGUGCAGCUCCUUCCGCUCCCGGAUCUACGGCGGCGACACCAACAUCAACGCGCCCUACGCCGCAUCUCUCCGGGCCAACUGCCCCCAGUCCGGCGGCAACGGCAACCUGGCGCCGUUGGACACGACGACGCCCAACACCUUCGACAACGCAUACUACACGGACCUCCUAUCCUAG